rnacentral:lncRNA from 1 species
CCCGACGCCGCCGUGGAGUUCGUGUUCUCCUCCAGUCCUGACAAGGUGGAAGACUGGGCCGCCCCCCGUGGUGCUGUGUGCGUGGACCUGUGCACGUGGGACCCCGUGGUGCGGCGCGACUCCUUCCACGGCUUCAAUGCGCGGCACCAGGACAGCAGCGACGACCUGACGGAGACGGGGGGGCCGCAGGACGAGAGCCCCCGCACCCUUGCGCAAGACAGGGGGGCCGCCGGGGGCGCCCCAUGGGAGGAGGACCCCUCCACGGCAGAAUCCCCGCCACCGCAGAGCCCCACCGGGCGCCCCUCACCCCCCACGGCCGCAGAGCGCUGGGAGCUGGAGCAGCUGCUGGGGGGCUGCGGGCUGGGGGGGGGGCAGGAGGAGAGCCCCCCCGGUGCCCCACAGGGGACCCCAAUGCCCCAUAGCACCCUGGCACCCCACAGUGGCCCUGUGCCCCGUAGCAGCCCUGUGCCUCACGGAGACCCUGUGCCCCAUAGCACCAUGGCAUCCCAUGGAGGCUCUGUGCCCUAUAGAGAUCCUGCACCCCAGAGCAGCCCUGUGUCCCAUAGCACCACAGCAUCCUAUAGCACCAUGGUGCCCCAUAGCAGCCCUGUCCCCCACAGGGACUCUGUGCCUCGUAGCACUGCAGCAUCCUAUAGCACUCUGGCGCCCCACAGCGAAGCAGUGCCCCCCAGAGACCCCAUGCCCCAUAGCUGCCCUAUGCACCAUAGCGCUGCAGCGCCCUAUAGCACCCUGCCAUCCCAUAGUGACCCUGUGCCCCACAGCUGCUUUGUGCCCUAUAGUGCUCUGCCACCCCAUGGUGACCCUGUGCCCCAUAGCAUUGCCACACCCUGUUGCUCCCUGGUGCCCUAUAGCACCCCGACACCCUGUAGCAACUCAAUGCCUCAUAGUCCUGCAUCACCCCAUAGCAGCCCCUCAGCCUAUAGCACCCCAACCACACCCCACAGCCCCCCAACAUCCUAUACCCCCCUCGCAUCCUACAGCCCCUCCCCACCCUAUAGCACCCCAACACCCUAUAGUACCCCAAUGACCUACAGCCCCACUGCAUCCUACAGCCCUCCAUCACCCCACAGCCCCCUGACACCCUAUAGCCCCCCACCCCCUAGCCCCCCAGCACCCUAUAGCCCUCCCAUGCCCUAUGGCAGCCUGACACCCUAUAGCAGCCCACCACCCCAUAGCACACUGACACCCUACAGCAGCACUGUGAUACCCCAUAGCAGCACCUCAGCGCCCCAUAGUGUUCAUGUGCCCCAUAGCACCCAAAGUGCCUACAGCCCCUCGACACCCCACAGCAGCCCAUCACCCCAUAGCGCAAACUACAGCAGCACUGUGACACCCCAGAGCGCCCACGUGCCCCAGGGCACCCAAACACCCAUGGCGCCCCAUAGCCACGCCCAUUUAGGCCACGCCCUCCAGCGCCGCCCCAGCUUGGCCCCUCCCCCUCCCUGUCUGUGCCCGGGGGGAGGGGCUGAGGGGCGGGGGCGGCAGCGCGCACGGAGGUCGCUGUCCGAAGGGGCGGGGGCUGAGUUGGCCACGCCCCUCUGCCCCCUGUGCGGGCCACGCCCCUUCCCUGUGGGACCGCCCACCCCCAAAAGUGGAACCCCCGGGAGCCCCGGAGAGAGCGCGGGGGGUGAGUGGGCGGGGCGGGCGCUGGGGCUACGGGGGGGUACGGGCGGCGUGUGGGGAGUGGGAGGGAAUUGGGGGGCAAUGGGGGAGUCAUUGGGAAACAUGGGAUGAUGGGAUACAGCGGCUGCGGGGGGUCCUGCGGUAGUGGGGG